rnacentral:rRNA from 1 species
CCUACGGGAGGCAGCAGUGGGGAAUAUUGCACAAUGGGGGAAACCCUGAUGCAGCGACGCCGCGUGAGUGAAGAAGUAUUUCGGUAUGUAAAGCUCUAUCAGCAGGGAAGAAGAAAGACGGUACCUGACUAAGAAGCCCCGGCUAACUACGUGCCAGCAGCCGCGGUAAUACGUAGGGGGCAAGCGUUAUCCGGAUUUACGGGGUGGAAAGGGAGCGUAGACGGCUGUGCAAGUCUGAAGGGAAAGCCCAGGGCUCAACCCUGGGACUGCUUUGGAAACUGUGGAGCUAGAGUGCUGGAGAGGUAAGUGGAAUUCCUAGUGUAGCGGUGAAAUGCGUAGAUAUUAGGAGGAACACCAGUGGCGAAGGCGGCUUACUGGACAGUAACUGACGUUGAGGCUCGAAAGCGUGGGGAGCAAACAGGAUUAGAUACCCCAGUAGUC